rnacentral:lncRNA from 1 species
AUCUUUCACCUUUCAUUGAUUUGUGUUCUAUAUUCUACUUCCGCUAGUAGUUGAAAUUUGGCAAUUAAGAUGGCACAAUACGGGGCUGAAUAUGGCAACCAAAAGAGCCAGUACGAUGAGUACGGAAACCCAGUUCGUCAGACAGACGAAUAUGGUAACCCAGCCCGCCAUGGAGGUACCAUGGGUGAUUAUGGAACCACUGGCACUACUGGAGCCUAUGGUGGCACAGCUGGAGCACAUGGGACUUAUGCAACUGGAACCACCGGCACUACCGGUACCGGUGCGUAUGCCACCCAGCCUGGCACUGAUGUGGGGAAGGAGCACCAUGGCCUUGGUGGCAUGCUUCAUCGCUCUGGUAGCGGUAGCUCUAGCUCGGUAUGCCCUCCUAAUUAAUCUCGUCUUGCUUAAAUUGUACUGAGUUGUAGUAGCAUUUAACAAAUCUUGACCAGCUUGUGAUGACUGGUAAUUAAAAAGUUCUUAUCUGUUUUCUUUUUGUUUUUUCGGUUGGGAUGCAGUCCGAGGAUGAUGGGCAAGGCGGGAGGAGGAAGAAGGGGAUGAAGGAGAAGAUAAAGGAGAAACUGCCUGGCGGUCACAAGGAGGCUCGACCUGGACAAGAAUAUUCGAGUGCUACUACAGCUCCUGGAUACGGCGGGGAAGGAGAGCAGCACGAGAAGAAAGGAAUUAUGGAUAAAAUCAAGGAGAAAUUACCAGGGGGUCACAACAACUGAAGAUCUAAUUCUAAUAAUAUGGGAUCCAAUUAUGAUAUUGUGUACCCCUAUUUUCAAUCUCAAUCUCAAUCUCGUUCGUGUCAUGUUUGUGUUUUCUGAGAUUUGAGUGUGUGGACGU